UAUCCAAAGUCCGGCCCACGGGCCAAAUGCGGCCCGCGUCUAACUUUAGAUUGGCCCGAAGCAUUGUGUCACAAAAUCAAUAAUGAGCCACAGUAAUGAAAGUCAUCCUAACGGGAACGCGCACAUGAGCCAGCGCUCAUGAUCGGUUGCGAGCGUGUCUCCUCCGUCCCUUCCCAGUUCACGCGCACACAGGUGUCCGUUUGCAAGAUAAUCCGUGACACAGACACUUCCUCAUUCAAAUGUCCACACACCAAGGACUAAAUCGACGCCAAAAUCAGAGACGCUGCAAGUGACGCUGCACAGGGCAAGGCAAAAAAAAAAAAAACCCGGACUACUGGUGAGAACUGUCUACUUCGUACUAACUCUC